GAAAAGAAACCAACAGGGAUUGCCCUAGUAACGGCGAGUGAAGCGGCAACAGCUCAAAUUUGAAAUCUGGCCUCGGCCCGAGUUGUAAUUUGCAGAGGAUGUUUCUGGCGCGGUGCCUUCCGAGUUCCCUGGAACGGGACGCCACAGAGGGUGAGAGCCCCGUAUGGUUGGACACUAAGCCUGUGUGAAACUCCUUCGACGAGUCGAGUAGUUUGGGAAUGCUGCUCAAAAUGGGAGGUAAAUCUCUUCUAAAGCUAAAUACCGGCCAGAGACCGAUAGCGCACAAGUAGAGUGAUCGAAAGAUGAAAAGCACCUUGAAAAGGGGGUUAAACAGUACGUGAAAUUGUUGAAAGGGAAGCGCUUGUGACCAGACUUGCGCCGGGCGGCUCAUCCGGGGUUCUCCCCGGUGCACUCCGCCCGGCUCAGGCCAGCAUCGGUUCUCGUUGGGGGAUAAGAGCGGCAGGAACGUGGCCCUCCUUCGGGUGGGUGUUAUAGCCUGCCGUACGAUACCCUGACGGGGACCGAGGUUCGCGCUCCGCAAGGAUGCUGG
rnacentral:rRNA from 1 species